rnacentral:rRNA from 1 species
UACGGAGGGGGCUAGCGUUGUUCGGAAUUACUGGGCGUAAAGCGCGCGUAGGCGGACCUGCAAGUCGGGGGUGAAAGCCCGAGGCUCAACCUCGGAACUGCCUUCGAUACUGCGGGUCUCGAGUCCGGGAGAGGUGAGUGGAAUUCCUAGUGUAGAGGUGAAAUUCGUAGAUAUUAGGAAGAACACCAGUGGCGAAGGCGGCUCACUGGCCCGGUACUGACGCUGAGGC